rnacentral:rRNA from 1 species
GGACUGUUGGACUGAUCGCUGAAAGCAACAAGCAAGCAAAGGCAAUUAGGACAAGCAGAAAUCGAGCGGCCGGCCGUGCCGCGGCUGGGGUAGCUAGCAUGCUGGGCGUCCUGGUGCUCCUGCUCCUGCUGAUGCCGCUGUCGGCAACUGCAACAGCACAGCUCUGCGGCAGCGGCGGCAACUACGUGGCCAACGGCACCUACGAGUCCAACCUCGCCGCCCUCGCCUCCACCCUCCCCGCCAACGCCUCAUCCUCCCCGCAGCUCUUCGCCGUCGCCACCGCCGGCCAAUCCCCGGACGCGGUGCACGCGCUCGCGCUCUGCCGGGGCGACUUCGCCAGCGACACCGCGUGCAGGGACUGCGUCGCCGCCUCCUUCCAGCACGCGCAGCGGGCGUGCCCCAGCGACAAGGCCGCCACCGUCUACUACGAGUACGACGACGACCAGAGACCAGGCUGCGUGCUCGGCUUCUCCGGCGACGAUGGCUUCCUCAACCCAGUGGCCAGUCUCACCGGGAACGGCACUCUCUUCCAGGCGUGGAACACGGGGAACAUCUCCGGCGUCGCCGGUGUCGUCACCGCUGGCGUCCACGAGCUGCUGACCGCCACGGCCCAAGACGCGGCCGCCAACACGACGAGGCGGUACGCCACCGCGGUCAUGGAUUCUGCCCCGACGACGCUCUACUCUCUAGCGCAGUGCACGCCGGACCUGUCCGCCGGCGACUGCCAGGCGUGCCUCCAGCGGCUCAUCGGCAUGGUCAACGCCACCACGUCCGUGCGCCUGGGAGGACGGAUCUUCGUGCUGCGUUGCAACGUCAGGUUCGAGGCGUUUAUGUUCUUCGACCGGCCCAUGCGGCGGAUCAGUCCAUCGUCCAACGCUCCGGCUCCUCCCACAGGUCAUGGAACGCGGCCUUGGGUAAUUGCUAUAUGUGUAGCUGCUCCACUAGCACUGGUUGCUUUCUGCGUCAUUGUCUACUGUCGUUGCCUCAGAGGAAGAAGGAACAAAAAUGGUACAAAGAUACUACGAGAAAAUCGUAGUUACAAGUUGCAAGAAGGAGAUCAAGAACUAGUAUGGGAUAUGGAAGAAGCAUUAUCCGGCUUUACAAUUUUUGAUUUUCAUGAGAUAUUGGAAGCUACAAGUAACUUCUCCGAAGAAAAUAAACUUGGAGAAGGAGGAUUUGGCCCUGUAUAUAUGGGUCAUUUUCUUCAAGGAUUGGAGAUAGCAGUCAAGAGACUUGCUUCACAUUCAGGACAAGGUGUCUUAGAGUUCAAAAAUGAAGUUCAGCUCAUAGCCAAACUUCAACAUAGGAAUUUGGUUAGACUCUUGGGAUGUUGCUCGCAAGGAGAGGAAAAAAUAUUGGUCUAUGAAUACUUGCCAAACAAAAGUUUGGACUUCUACAUAUUUGAUGAAUGUAGAAAAGCUUUAUUGGAUUGGAACAAACGUCUUGCAAUAAUUGAAGGAAUAGCAGAAGGACUUCUUUACCUACAUAAGCACUCUUGUUUGCGUGUGAUACAUCGAGAUCUUAAACCAAGCAACAUUCUCUUGGACAAUGAAAUGAAUCCUAAAAUUUCAGAUUUCGGCCUGGCAAAAAUAUUUAGCUCAAAUAACACGGAAGAAGACACCACAAGAAGAGUGGUUGGUACAUAUGGUUACAUGGCUCCAGAGUAUGCCUCCGAGGGCCUAUUCUCCAUCAAAUCCGAUGUAUUCAGCUUUGGUGUCUUAAUUCUUGAGAUCCUUAGUGGGAAUAGGAAUUCUGCUAGCCAUCAAUGUGGAGGUUUCAUCAACCUCCUCGGAUAUGUGAGUUCAUAAACACCCAUAUAACAUGAACUUAAAUGUUGUAUUAACCUAUAGUAUUGUACCUAACUAUAUGGUGAAAUUGCAAAUAGGCUUGGCAGUUAUGGGAUGAGGGAAAUUGGAUUGAUAUUGUUGAUGUGUCAUUGACUCCCAAGUCUCACCCAGUAGAAAUGAUGAGGUGCAUCAACCUCGGACUACUAUGUGUGCAAGAGAAUGCGGCUGAUCGACCGAACAUGUUGGAUGUUACUGCAAUGCUAAGCAGCAAGACAAUGCUCCUGCAGGAGCCAAAGCACCCAGCAUAUUUCAACCUAAGGGUAGGUGAUGAAGAGGAUUCAUUUGCUACCCGGUCCUACAGUGUUAAUGAUAUGACCAUAUCUGUAGCAACUCCUAGAUAGUUUUUCUGUGUCAUGUGUUUUUUCACUGAGCCAAUGCAGAAUCAGUGGUAUAGUACACGUUGUACACCACAUAAUUUUGAGGGUUAUGUAAGCACAAAUGCUUCUCUAAAUCAUAUAGGAUUGAAGUGCAUUUGCAUUGUGGAAGUAGUCAAUCAAAACCAUAAUUGUGUUUAUUAUAAGCUUUCGUAGAAAUAUAGUGCGAAUGGAUCAAAAUACUAAUU